AGCAGGAUGGACCUCAUAGAAAAAGAAGUGGACGUUCUGGAGAGCUGGCUUGAUUUCACAGGGGAAUUGGAGCCACCAGAUCCCCUGGCAAGACUACCCCAACUUAAGCGCCACAUAAAACAACUCUUACUUGACAUGGGCAAAGUACAACAAAUUGCAACUCUUUGCUCUGUAUAACAACGGUAAACAUUUGGUGACAAGGAUGUGUUUUACUUCAGUUGAGUCACUUUUAUUGCUAAGUGGAUAGUCAAAAAGCUUAAUGUUUGGUCAUUUACUGAUUUGUGACUUCAAUAGUAUGGCAUCUUGGAAAUAAAAUGAAGAACUAUUUAAUCAAGGAAGCUAACAUUAAAAAUGAGUGAACAAGCUGCAAAUGAUAAUGUCAUCUAUGCCAAGAAUCAAUGAGUAUAAUUCAAGCUGCACUAAAGGAAUGGAAUUGGCAGGAUUCUUAUAGUUGCUUUCAUGAAGCUCAAGAUACCUAUAGAAAGAAUCGUGACGUAUUUAUAGAGGGUUUUUUUAAGAGAUAGCCAUGUUUCUAAACCAGCAUCUGGCCAAAAUCACACUGUAAGGAAAUUCAAAUUCUGGAGAGUUCUACAAGUUUCCUCUAAGAAUUGCCUUCUAGCAGUUGGAUCCAGCUGCAAAGAAACUUAGGUUAUUUAAACUUCUGUAGGAUCAUGAGUUAUUUCUUGGUGAUGAAUGUAUUUUAAUCAGAAAACUGACAAUGAAAGUCUCACUUUGAGGAAAAUAAUUGUGGAAUUCUAACUUCAUUAUCAAGAACAUGUCAUGUUAAAUACAAAGACUCCAGCAUCCAAGAAAGCAUCAAAUCCAAAAUAUUUUCUUCCCAAGCAUUUCUGAUAAUGAACACUAAAUUUCAGUCUUAAAAUUCAAUCACUUUGUUAGCAGUUAGGAAAUUGAGUACUUCAUUGAUGUUAUGUUAAAUGCCCCACUCUGCUUAUUUGUCAAUGAAUGAGAAAUCUAAUUCUUAAAUUUAGAUCUUUAAAGAAUAUAUCAGUUUAUGUGCACAUACCCAGUUACUCUAGAACCAACCAACAAUUGGUUAAGGUCCAUUAUAAGGUAGAGGGCUUAACUUUUCUUUGAGAGAAUGAAUUAUCUUUGGAGAAGCAAAUACAUUGUGAGAAGUUUCAGGUAAGAUUUGUUUUUUCCUUUUAGUUUCACCUAAAAUUGUUGUAUUGAAAUCUAAGCAAUGAACUGGGAGAAUAUUUUCUCCAAAGAUAAUGUUUCAUUUGCCAGAUGGACAAGAGUAUGAGCCUCAGUGGAGGGAUUCCUCCUCAUAAUUUCUGGCAAAUAUAAUUUGUACUUCUUUGUGGUUGUCUAUGGUUCCACUGACUGUUGAAGUAAUGUAUUUUCUCCUUAAAGGAACUUGUUAUUCUUAGAAUUUCAGGUAAAUCACCUGUUCCUAAGUCGUUUCAAUUCAAUGUUCAUACUAAAAUGUGUAUACUUUACAUGUUAAAACUGAAGCAUACUACUUCCUCCCCAAUAAACUGAAUCUGCUGCCACUGUC
rnacentral:lncRNA from 1 species